GGGGAUGUUCCUGCAGCUGCACCGCUACUGCUCUCCAGGCUGCUUAACUGCCAGUGUCAGGCAGGGUGCAGGCAAGAGGGAAGCAGCUUCUGUUGUGCUGCCUCUGUCUGGCAGAGCAGAGUCUGUUGCCUGAGCAUGAGCCACGACUCCUCCAUUGAGGCUCCGUGGGAUUGGGGACAGUACAGCCGUCCCUCAUGGCAUGCUGGCCAGUGCCUGGCUGGGGGCAGGCUCAGGGCUUUGGUGCAGUCUGUGGCCCUGUGCUCAUGCUCUGUUUUAUCUCUUGGGGCCAGCGUCUCUGGUCAGGUGAAAAAAGCUGAGACCAACAGACCCGUGUGUUCACCAGUGACAGGCCAGGUGAGUCCUGAAGGCUGUUCUGGGCCAGAGCUGCAGGGAGCUGCUGCCCCUCUGCCUGCUCUGCGAGGGCAGGUGGGCUGCAGCUUGGCAGGGAGGCAGGCACUGCACCCCAUGGACAGGUGUGAGGGAGGAUGGCUUGCAGGAAGGAUCCUGCUCAGUUAAGAGUUGCUGUGUGAGCUUGGAGGGGAUGGGAUUGCAGUAUCACCCUGUGUCCUUGGCACAGUGAUUCAGCCUGGAGGCCCAAAAAGCUGCUCGCCCUCCUGCAGCUGCCUCCUGUGCCCAGAAGAGUUCAGAGCUCCUGCAACACCAGCAACACAAGUGGGGCCAAAGCAGAGCUGUCCUGGCAGAGCUCCUGGGAGAGCAUCAGCCACCCACCUCACCCAAGCUGCUGCUGGAGCCCAUCCCCAGCCAGGAGCCCAGGGGCAGUGGGGAGAAUGCUGAGACCCUGGAGAGGGACUCCUGCAGCAGCGGUGCUGCCAGCCCAGUGCACGGCACAGCGGGGAUCUGCCCAAAGCGUCCCAGAAGGCCCAGGGUGGAACCAGCAGCUUGUGCACCUCUCAGGAAUCAGGCUGUGGCAUGGACCUCCCUACUGGCUCCAGCACCAAGGUGGCUGCACCCAAAGACUCCAAACUGGCAACAUUGAAAUCCUCCCUGUUGGCCAGUGCUGCUCUGGAGCUGAACAUCACCAUGUCACCACCACCAGCCAUAGAGCUGGUGCUUUCUGCCAAAAGCGCAGCAUCCUGUGGAAGGCGAGCAGAAGUGACCAUUGCACACCACCUCAUUCACAAUUUGCCAACCACACCUACCCCAUGGACACCACCCACCCCAACUCCUUGGCCUGUUGGCAAGUCAAGGCUGUCCUCAUCUGCUCUCCAUCAGCCAAAUCAUGAAAAGCCGACCUUCAGCUUCAUCCUCAGCUCAGCCCUUUGGCUCCCAGCCUCCCCGUGACCAGCUGUUCCACUGCCCACCCUUCGCACCACCUUCCUCCUGCAGCAGCGAGCAGGAGCCCAGCCAGGUCACCCCUGGUUCCUCCAGAAAGUGUCAGUGUAAGCAGCACCGUGGAGCAGACAGCAGCCCCUGUGCUCUGGCUGUGAAGAACAAGGAUCAAGUCUCCAGCCCCCAGGGAAGAAGAAGAAGAAGAAGAAUCUCACAGGAGGGCUCAAUGUCCCCUGCGGGGAAGAAGGUGGCAGGCAAGGGUCCCAGCGGUGGCAGGGAGGCACCCAGCUGUCAGCACCGAAAGAUCAGGCCCGUGGUGCAAGUGUCAGGCCGCAGGACCUGUCUGGACACAGAGGCCAUCUGCCCCCUGAAGAGGAAGAAAAGGAGGAGAUGGAGGAGACAGAAGAGUGCUGCUCAGGGUUAGAAUUAGGUUUAGCAUUAGGGUUACAGAUUGUGGGUAAGGGUUAGAAUGAAGGCUUGGGUUUAGGUUUAGUGUUUAGGGUUUGAGAUAGUGAUAGGGUGAAAGUUAGGAUUAGGAUUAGAGUUACAGUUUGCUGUUAGGUGCUAGGGUUAGACUUGGGGUUAGUGAAGAGUAUUAUGGUAAGUAGUUAGGGUUAGGAGUAGGGACAGAGUUAAGGUUGGGUUUUGGUUAGAGGUAGGUUUAUAGUUUAGGUUUAGAGUUAGUGUUAGUGGUUAGGAUUAGGGUGGGUUAGGGAUGAGGAAUUGGCAUUGUAGUUAGUGAUAGGGUUUGGGGAUAAGGGAAAUGGUUAGAUUUUGGGUUUGGGGUUAGGAUUAGGGGUCUGGUAGUGCUUGGGAUAGUGGUUAGGGUUAAGAGUUAGUGUUAGAGAGAUGGUUAGAGUAAGGGUUGGAAUUUGGGGUAGAGCUGCGGUUAGCGGUUAGGACCAGGAUCAGAGUUUUCCUUAGGGUUAUCAUUUAUUGGUUAUUGUUUCUUGGCUAGCGUGUAUUAGUUAGGUUUAGAGUUAGGAUUAGUGUUUAAGCUUAGGUUUCAGUGUUAGGAUUAGAGGCUAGGGUUAGAGGAUAUGUUAGGCUGAGAAUUAGUGCUACAGGGUAGAGUUAGGCUUAGGUUUAUAUUAGCAUCAGAGGGGGCUAGUGUUUCGUCAGAUGUAGGGAUAGGGCAUUGGGUAAAGCAUAGGUUCAGGAUUAGAGUUAGCAGUUGUGGAUUAGGAUUAGUGUCAGGUUGAGAUAAGUUGUAUGGUGAGCCUUAGAUUAGGGUUAGGGGUUUGGGUGUAGAAUUAGAGUUAGCGUUAGGUAAGGUUUCAGGUUGGGUUUAGGUUUAGAUUACAGGUAGGUUUAGGGGUUGGGGAGAAGAGUUAGGGUUAUAGUUAGGAUUAGGUUUUGCAGUUAGGGUUAGUGGUCAGUUUUCGAGUUCUAAUUAGAGUUAGGGUUAGACUUAGCCUUAGGGAAAAGAGUUAAUUUUGUUUUAGGGAUAGGAUUUGGAUUAGUGUGAAGGUGUAGGGGUUAUUGUUAAAGUAAGUAUGAGGUUUAGAAUGAGGCUUGCAGGCUAGGAUUGGGGUUAAGGUUUAGGAGUUAGGUUUAGAAAAAGUGUUAGGGGUUUGUUUUUGUGGUUAGAGUUAGAAUUAGAGUUAAGGAUAGGCUUAUAGUAAGCAGUUAGAAUUUAGGGUUACGGUUAUAGUUAGGCUUAGAUUAGGUUUAUUGUUAGGGUUUGUUAUUAGGGCUUUGGUUAGGGCUAGAGUUAGCAUUAGGUUUCAGGUUUAGACUUAGGGUUAGGAUUUACAGUAAUGGUUAGACUUAGGGUAAAAAUUAGGGGUUAAUUUAAGGGUUAAGUUAGGGUUAGAUUUAGAGUUAGGGUUAGGAUUAGGUUUAGGUUUAGCAUUUAGAUAAGGGUUAGGUUUUACAUAAGGUUGAGGAUUAGUGUUAGAUAAGGUUUUGGGCUAGGGGAUAGAGUUAGGGUUAGAGUGUGGGAUAAGCUUAUGGAGCAUGGUUAGGUUUAGUGUUUGGGAUUAGGAUAUUGAGUUAGGGUUAUGGGUCAGGUUUGGGGUUAGAGUUAGUCUUAGAGUUGGGAUUAAAGUUUGGGCAAGAGGAUAGAGUAUAGGGUUAAGGGUUAGGGUUAGGAGUUUGUGUUUGGGUUAUAUGAGGUUUAGGUUAGGGUUACGUGGUAGGGUUAAGGUCUAGGGUUAGAUUUAGGGUAAAGGUAAGUGUUAGGAGUAACAGUUAGGGUUAGGCUUAGGAAUUAGGGAGUUGGGUUAGAUUUUGGGCUUAGGGGUUUGAGCUAAGGUUAGGGGGAAGGGUUACAUUUAGGGUUAGAAAUAGGGUUAAAUGUAGGGCAAGGGGUCAGAGUUAGUGUUAGAAUUACUGUUAGGGUUAGGAGUAUGUGUUUCAGUUAGAUGAGGUUUAGGAUUAGGGUUAUGUUUUAGAGUUAGGCUUUAGGGGUCAGAGUUAAGGUUAGUGCUAGACUUAGGAGCUAGGGAUUAGUCUGAGAGUUAGGGUUUGAGGUUCGGGUAUGUGUUUGCAUUGGGGUUUGGGUUAGGUGUUCAAGUAUUAGGAAGUGUCAGUGGAAGUGGUUAGGGGUUAGACUGAGGAGGCAGGGAUAGGGUUAGGGUUAUUUUUAGAGUUCGGUUUAGGGUUAGAGUUAGGUGUAGGGUCAGGGUUUGAUUAGGGUUAGAAUUAAGGCUAGGGCUUUUGGGUUAGGGUGAGAGAUAGAGUUUGGUUUUAGGUCUAGGUUUGUGAUUACAGUAAGAGGGCUAAGCAUUAGGUUUAGAGUUGGAGUUAGGCUUAGGGGUUUGCAUUAGGGUUCCAUUAGGGUGAAGAUAAUUGGGUAGAAUUUAGGGUUAAGCUUAGGGGUGAGGAAGUAGCAUUAGUGGACAUAGUUAGGAGUAGGCUUAGGUGUAAGAGUUGGGGUUUGGGGUUAGAUUUUGGGUUAGAGUUAGGGAUAGGAAUUAGGAUUAGGGUAAGGGUUGGAUUAGUUUUAAGUUUAGGGGCUAGGCAGUAGUGUUAGAAGAGGUGGUUAGGGUUAGGUUUCAUAAUUCUGUUGGAGAUGGGGAUUCGGGUUGAUGGUUAGGGUGUAAUGUUAUUGUAAAUGGUUAAGAUUAGCAUAAGAGAUUAGGUUUAGGGGUGAGGCUAGAGUUAGGGUUAGGAUUCUGUUUAGAGGUUGGGUUAGGGUUAGAUUUCAGGUUAGAGUUAGGGUUAGGGUUGGGUUAGGUUGGUUUAAAGCUUAUGGUUAGAGUUAGGUUAGUGAUAGGGUUCUGGUUAGGUUAAGGUUAGGGUUUACGUUUAGUGUUAGGAUUAGGUUUCAAGUUAGGGUUAGAGUUAGUAUUAGGGUUUAGGCUUACCAUGAAGGUUAUAGUUAGUGUUAGUGGUCAGCAUUAGGGUUACCAUAAGUGCUGGGUUUGUGUUAGGGAGUAGUGUUAAGGUUACUGGAACUAGGGGUUAGUUUCAGGGUUUAGGGGUUAUUGCUAGAGUUAGGGUGAGGUUUAGAAUGAUGAUUACUGGCUAGGGUUAGGGUUAAGGUUUAGGGCUGAGCUUUAGAGUCAGCUUUAGGGGGUUGGUGUUAGGGUUAGGUAUUAGGGAGAAGAAUUAGGGUUAGAUGUAAGGAUAAGAUUAUGGCUAGGAUAAGUGGUUAGGAUUUAGGGUUAGGGUUAUAGUUCCUUUUAGGGUUAGAUUAGAGUCAGUGGUCGGGUAGCGUUACCAGUUGGAGGAAAGGUUAGAUUUUGGGUUUGAUGUUAGAGUUAGAUUUUGGGUUGUGGGUAUUGUUAGGUUAGGGUUUGGAUUUCUACUUAUGUUAUGUUACUCUUAGGGUUAGAGUUAGGGGUUUGUCUUAAAUUUUAGGAUUAGAUUUAGGAUUAGUAUUUAGGUUUACAUUUAGGCUUAAGUUUUAGGAUUUGGUUUAGGGUAAUGGUUGGAUUAGGGUUAGUGUUAGAGGUUCUGGAGUUUUGUUAAGGGUAGAGUUAAGUUUUGGGGUUAGAUUUAGGGUUAGAUCAGGGUUAGGGCAUUGAAUUAGUUUUAGAGUUAGGGUUAGAGGUUGGUCUUAGAUUUAGCCUUUGCUUUAGGAUUACAGUAAGUGAUUGGACUAACAUUAGAGAGUUAGAUUUAGGGAUAGUUGUUAGGGGUAGGGUUAGGGUUAUUAUUAGAGUUUGAUUGGGAUUGGGUUUCGGGUUUAUGGGUAGGGAUGUGGUUAGUGGUAAGGGUUAGUAUUAGGGUUAGUGUUAGAGGUAAGGAUUAAGGUUAGGGGUUAGGGAAUAGUGUUAGUAUAAGCAGUUAGACUUCAGGUUUAGGGGGAAAGGGUAGGAAUAUGGUUAAGGUUAGCACUAUUUGUAGGUAUUACAGUUAGGGUUAGGUUUAGGUUAGGGGUUAGUGUUAGGGGUCAGAGUAAGAAUUAGGGUUAGGGGUUAGGGUUAGAGGUCAGGUUAGGGUAACCAUUACAUUUUUUAUUAAAUUUAGGGUUAGAAUUAGGCUUAGAAUUUAGACUUAGAGUUAAGAUUUAAGUUAAGGAUAGGGAUUAGGAUUAGGGUUAGGGUAAGGCUUGGAUUGGAGUUAGAUGUGGGGGUUAGGGAUUUGUGUUAUUUGAAUGGUCAGGUUUAGGUUUUAGAUUUAUAUUGAAGGGUUAGGGACAGGACACUGGGUUAGGCUUAGAGGUAGUGUUAAUGUUAUUUUCGGGAUAGGGCUUUAGACUUAAAGUUAGUCUUAGAAUUAUGGGUUAGGAUUUAGCAUUAGAUUAGAGAUAGGUUUAGGUUAGGGUUUAGGGUUAGGCUUAGAGGUUGAGUUAAUGGUUUGGGUUAGAUAUUAGGGUUGGGUUAGUGUUAAUUUUAGUAUGAGUGCUCAGGGUUGGCAACUGGGUUAAUGGGCUAGGGAUAGAAAUGAGGCUAGGAUUAGAUUAGAGUUAGGUUUAGGUUUAAGGUUUGUUUUAGAGGUGAAUUUAGGGGUUAGGCAUAGAUUUCAGGUUAGAGGUAGGAUUAGUGUUGGGUCUGGGUUAGGGUUAGUUUAGUUUAGGGUUACCAUUGAGGUUAGGUUAGUGAUAGGAUUAGUGUUAGGUUAGGGUUAGAGUUUAGGAUUGGGGUUAGAGUUUAGGGUUACUGUUAGGGUUAGAGUCAGGGUUAGGGCUCAGUUUUUGAUUUAUGGUUAUGGUUAGUGGUAGGGGUUAGGAUUAAGGUUGAGGUAAGGGUUGGAAUAGUGUUAGGUUUUGGGGUUAGGGUCAGUGGAAGUGGUUAGGCUUAGAGGUUAGAUUUAUGGGUUAGGGACAGGGAUAGGGUUAGGGUUAUGUUUAGAUUUAGGUUUAUGGUUUAAGUUAGAGGUAGGGUUAGGGUUUGAGUUUGGACUUAGACUCAGGCUUUAAUUUAAGAUUAGAGUGAGUGUAUGGGUUAAGAAUUAUGGUUAGUUUUUUUUAGGUAUAGAUGUUAGGCUUACAGUUAGAGUUAGGUUUUGAAUAGGGUUAGGGUUUGGGGGUGGGAGUAGAGAUUAGGUUAGGGUUAGAGUUAUUGUUAGGGGUUAGGAUCAGGGUUGAGGUUUAGCAAGUAGUGUUAAUGUAAGUGGUUAGGGUUAGGGUUUAGUUGUAGGGGUUAGGGGUAGGGUUAGUGAUUAGAGAGAAGAGUUAGGAUUAUAGUUAAGGAUAGGGUUAGGGUUAGCAGUUAUGACUUAGGGUUAGGGUUUCAGCUAGGGUUAGAUAAUGGUUAGGGUUAGAGUUGGCUUUACCAGUUGGGGGAAGGGUUAGAGUUAGGGUCUGGUGUUACGGUCUUGGUUAGGGCUAGAGUUAGCGUUAGAUUUUAGGGUUAGACUUGGAGUUAGGGCUAGGAAUUACAGUUAAGGUUAGUGUUAGGGUUAAAGUUAGGGCUUAGUUUAAGGGUUAAGUUAGGUUUAAGAGUUAGGAUUGCAUUUAGAGUUAGGGUUAGCAUUAGGGUUGUGAUUUGGAUAAGGGUUAGUGUUAGAUAAGGUUUGGGGUUAGGUUUAGAUUAGGGUUAGGGAAUAGAGUUAGAGUCAGGGCAGGAUUAGAGUUCAGGUUAGGGUUAGGCUUACUGUCAGGGUUAGGCUUAGGAUUAGGAGUUUGGGUUAGGCUUAGGGUUAGAAUUGGGGUAAGGGCUUGGGGUUAUGGUUAGAUUAGUUUUAGGUUAGUGUUAGGGUUGGUGGUAUGGGUUUAGUUAGGGUUAGGAGUUAGGGAGUAGUGUUAUUGUAAGUGGUUAGGAUUAGUGUAAGGGGGUAGGGUUGGGGUGGGGAUAGGGUUAAGGUUAGAAUUAUGGGUUAGGGUUGCAGUUAGGAUUUGGAAUUAGGGGUUAGAGUUAGGUUUUGGGACAGGGGUUUGGGGUUCAGGUUAGAGUAAGGGUUAGGAUUGAGGAUAAGGGUUAGGCUUUGGGUAAGUGUUGGGUUAAUGUUAAGGGUUGGGGUUAGGGAGUAGUGGAAGUGGUUAGGAGUAGGUUUAGGUAUUAGGGUUAGAUUUCAGGUUAGGGUUUGGAUUUACAUUUAGGGUUAGGUUAGUGUUCAGGUUAGAGUUAGGGUUAGUGGUUAGUUUUGGAUUUACAGGUAGGGUUAGGUUUAGGGAUCAGGGUGUUGUGUCAGUGGAAGUGGUUAAGGUUAGGGGUAGUUUUAGGAUUUAGGGUUUGAGUUAGGGUUAAGUUUUAGGUUAGAUUAGAGUUAGGGGAUGGUGUUUACAGUUAGACUUAUGGUGUAGGGGUUUGGACGAGGUUUACAGUUAGGACUAGAUUUUGGUUUUACACUUGGUCUUUUUUUAGGAUUACAGUAAGUGUCUGGACUAAGUGUUAGGGUUAGAAUUCGGGUGAGUGUUAGGGGUCGGUGUUAGGGGGUAGGGUUAGGGUAGUAUUAGGGUUUGAUUAGGGUUACAGUUGGGUAUUAGUAGGUAGAGAUAUGGAUAGGGGUUAGUGGCACAGGAUAGAGUAAGAGUUAGUGCUAAGGGCUAGGAUUAGGGUUUAUGGAGUAGUGUUGAGUUUAGUGUUAGGGCUAAGAAUUAGUCUUUGGAGUUAGGGAAUAGUGUUAGUGUAAGCAGUUAGGGUUAGGUUUUAAUAUUAGGGGUAAAAAGGGUAGGACUAGGGUUAGGGUUAGAGUUAGGAUUAUGGCUAAGUAUUAGAGUUAGAUUAGGUUUAGAAAAGGGUUAGAGUUUAGGGUUGGAGAUAGCAUUAGGGGUAAAUUUUACGGUUUGGGUUAGAGUUAGGAUUAUGUUUUAGCUUUAGAUUUAGGUUAGAGUUAGGGAUCGGGUUAGGAUUAGGGUUAGGGUUAGUGUUAGGCAGUAGUGUUAGUGGAAUGGUCAGAGUUAGGUUAGGGGUUAGGAUUAGGGUCAGAGUUAGGGUUAGAAUUGGGGUAAGGGCUUGGGGUUACAGUUAGAUUAGUUUUAGGUUAGUGUUAGGGUUGGGGGUAGGGGUUUAGUUAGGGUUAGAGGUUAGGGAGUAGUGUUAUUCUAAGUGGUUAGGAUUAGUGUAAGGGGGUAGGGUUAGGGGUGGGGAUAGGGUUAAGGUUAGAAUGAUGGGUUAGGGUUGCAGUUAGGGUUUGUGACGGGCGUAGAGUUAGGUUUUGGGACAGGGGUUUUGCUCAGGGUCCCAGGGGGAUGUGUCAGGUACCAAGGCCUGGAUGAAGAGCUCCCUUCUUGGUCGCACACAUCCCAAACGACAGGGACACGUCUGUGACUUAUCUGCCUGGCGCUGUCCCACCAGCAGUGGCAGAUGCGUCCUGGAGAGGAGUGGAACUGCCAGGCACUGUCAGAGGAUCUCCCUGAGGUGCCACUCGCUGCCCACCCAGACUCACACCCUGUCCCUGGCUGUGACAGAUACAGCAGCUACGAGCUCUGGACACAGGACACAACAGUCCAACAGCAGAGACCAUCUCUCCUGAACUGAAAGACUCUUAUGACCCUGGAGCCCAAAGCCAUGGACCACAUGAACUCAUUGGACACUUUAGAGGUGGGGCCUAUAGACUGAGGAGUGAGAUCUGUGUGUAUAUCCAGAGAUAGGAAAGUGCUGUUGAUUAACUGGAAUGUAUUGGAGAGUGUGGGACCCGGGCACAACACAGAUGGUACAGAAUAAGGGGGGGGCACUGUCCUGGUUUCAGCUGGGAGAGAGUUAAUUUUAUUCCUAGUAGCUGGUAGAGUGCGGUGUGUUGGAUUUAAUCUGAGAAGAUUGUUGCUAGCACAGGGAUGUUUGGGUUGUUGCUAAGCCAUGUUUAUCCCAAACCAAGGACUUUUCAGCAAGGAGGCUGAAGAUGCACAAGAAGCUGGGAGGGGCACAGGCAGGACAGCUGGCCCAAGUGCCCAAAGGGCUGUUCCACACCAUAUGAUGUCAUGCUUGGUGUGUAAACUAGAGAAAAGUUAUCUGGGGGACCGCUGUUUGGGAUCUGGCUGGGUGUCGCUCGAUGGGUUGUGAGCAAUUGCAUUGUGCGUGACUUGGUUUAUAUCUCCUGUUAUUAUUAUUACCAUUUUUGCGAUUACUACUAUUACUACUGCCAUCCUUAUUAUUAUAAUUACUAUUACUAUAAUUAUUUUAUUUAUUAUCAUUAUAAUAUUAUAUUUGUUGUAGCUGUUGUAGCUAUUGUAGCUGUUUUAGCUGUUGUUGCUAUUGUAGCUAUUGUUGCUGUCAUUGCUAUUGUAGCUCUUGUUGCUGUUGUUAUUGUUUUGCCUUUCUGUCUCAUUAAACUGUCUUCAUUUUAACCCAAGAUGUUUCUUUCUUUCCUGAUUCCCUCUCCCACCCCACUGGGCUGG